rnacentral:lncRNA from 1 species
CAUUCUUUACCCUUAGGAAGAAUGCAGAAAAUAUGUACUACUUUUCAGAGCUGGCUCUGACUCUCAAUGCCUGGGAAGGUGGCACUGCACCCACAGACAGCCGGUUACGGCCUGACCAGAGACUGAUGGAAAAUGGGCGCUGGGAUGAAGCCAAUGCUGAAAAGCAGCGCCUGGAGGAAAAACAAAGACUUUCCCGAAAAAAGAGAGAAGCAGAAGCUAUGAAAGCCACAGAAGAUGGUAAUGAACUUGCCUUCUACUUACAUUUCUUGAUGCAUAGAGAGUGUCAGCUCAAUUUGUGCUUUUCUUUCUUUUAGGCACGCCAUAUGAUCCUUAUAAGGCACUGUGGUUUGAGCGGAAGAAGGACCCUGUGACCAAGGAGUUAACCCAUAUUUAUAGGGGUGAAUAUUGGGAGUGCAAAGAAAAGCAGGACUGGAACUCAUGCCCAGACAUUUUUUGAAGCACCAGUAACACAAAGGAAGCGGAUCAAAUGGAGAAGAGGACAGAGGAUGUGCAGGAAAGCUGGCAGUUGUGACUCUUACCAAGUGCUUUCCUCAAGUUUGUCUGUCUUAACCAAUCAUUUUUUCCAAAUCAAUCACCAGAAGCAGACACCAGUGGUGGUGAUUGGCUGGUUGCCUUAGCUGAUUGAUGCUGAAAUCGAUGUACUAGAUACCUUGUAAGGGAGAGGUUUAGUGGCUGAAAGUUAGUGUUAUUCCACUUCUACAAAGUCAAGUAUUCUUGGCUCUUCUUCCUCCCUCUGCCCCAUUUAAGGUGAUGUUAUUCACCCUCCCCAUGUAGUAUCCUGCUCAGCCAAGAUCUGCGUAAAAUUGUGAUUCAUGAGCAUUUUGGUGCUGUUCAGGCAAGAACUGAUUUUAAAGUUCCUUUAAAAAGAAACACAUAUAAGACUUAACCAGCAGAGACAUCGAGAGUGAUUGCAGUGGAGCUUAGGUCUAACAUUGUGAAAGGUGUUCAUACAGCGUUGGUUUAAUGGGGCAUCGUGCAUAGAUAACUGAGGUAUUAAAACACCUGCAAGAGUGAUUGUUCUGUAGGGCUGGAAUAUUCAGUUACAUUCUUGGAAGUUUCUAUCUUCAUCACGUGAAACACUUGUCUGCUGUUCUCCAUCUUCUUUGGCAGCAACUGGAGGCCAUGUGGUGGUUGUUAAAAGAGUCGCAUUAUCCUCACAAAGGGGUUUUACGGACUUCCUCAGGCAGAGAACUUCUGAGAACACAGGCAGGAUGGAAAAAGACUGCUAGCCACUUUUACCUUCCCGGUUCCUCCUCGCCCCCAUCCUUCAUGCCUUUCUAGCUUCUCUCUCCUGGCAUAAUACCAAUUUGGGCCUGUGCCCCAGUCUGGAGCAAAACAUUGCCUGUCCCCUUCUGAUAAACUUCAGAAUUUGAGAGAAGUUAAUCUGGAACAAAAGUUUUCACCAUCUCUCAAGCCCCAUGGACUGGAGCCACCUCUGGAAUAAUGUGUUAAAUAUCUGUAUAUUAUAUAUAUGUAGAGAAAAAUCUAAUUUUUUGUUUGACUUUCCUCCUUCCCAUUAAGAAUCUUGGUUUUUAAUAUCACUUGUCUCCCUGGGACUCUCUUGGACAUGAGCUGGUGUGUAUUAGCACUCCUUUACUUCCAUCUUCUAGAGGCAGAUUUGAAACCUGAGCAGGAAGGAUCACGUCUAGCAGUUACAGAACAGGGACUCUGUCCAUGGUUUGUAUCUUGGGGUGCCCACUGAAGUCUGAACUCUGCUCUCCUAAUUACCCGACUCUUGAAAAUGAAAUCCUAAACUCUUUCCUGCCUCUUUUCUGUCUUUUGUUAGGAAGAGUAUGGGUAGAAAAUCAGGAGGGUAAUUUCCUAUUUACUCCUGCCUCUGUCCAGCACGUAGGCUAAAUCCCAAAAGAACUUUCUUCCUAGGGAUGUGGGCUAAAAGCACUGUCAAGUGGGGUGGAUCAGAGAACUGAGCCUGUUGGGACCUGGCUUCCUUCUUAUUGUAUGUUCUAUAUUUGUUUCAGUUGUCUUGUUCAGAAAUCUCCCCUGGGGAACCCACCCUUGGUUGAGGAUCACAAAUUGAGGUGCCUUCCUUGUAUGCUUUUUGUUAGUGUUUUUUGUUUUUGUUCCUUAACUGCUGAGCCUCAGCCAGUGUGGGUCCUGGGGGGAAAUAUCAUUCCAGAGGAAGCCAUCCCUCCGGGAAAUUGGAUUUUAUGGGUAAAUUAAUUAGUACUUUAAUCCUUCCCCACUAUCCCUCCUUGCUGUGAUAGACAUGAGAGAGGAGUGACUGACCGCUGGAGGAGUGUCCUCCUUUCUAAGAAUGCUUUUCCCAGCACAAGCCAGAGGUUAUGCUGGGGCUUCUUCCAAGGAGGCCCAUGGAAGCAGGAACUUCAUCUGGGGCUUUGGAUAGAGUGUGAAUUCCCCAGCUAAACUGAACUUCCUGCUUUAUCCCCCUUUUCCUCCUUUACCAUCUGCACUACAUUUCUGAAUUGAUCCCCAGAUUCCUGCUAAUGGAAGCAGCUUAGAGUCCUUCAGGUGGAAUAAAGUCACAUGAAAAUG